GAUGAACGCUGGCGGCGUGCCUAAUACAUGCAAGUCGAGCGAACAGACGAGGAGCUUGCUCCUUUGACGUUAGCGGCGGACGGGUGAGUAACACGUAGGUAACCUACCUAUAAGACUGGGAUAACUUCGGGAAACCGGAGCUAAUACCGGAUAAUAUUUCGAACCGCAUGGCUCGAUAGUGAAAGAUGGCUUUGCUAUCACUUAUAGAUGGACCUGCGCCGUAUUAGCUAGUUGGUAAGGUAACGGCUUACCAAGGCAACGAUACGUAGCCGACCUGAGAGGGUGAUCGGCCACACUGGAACUGAGACACGGUCCAGACUCCUACGGGAGGCAGCAGUAGGGAAUCUUCCGCAAUGGGCGAAAGCCUGACGGAGCAACGCCGCGUGAGUGAUGAAGGUCUUCGGAUCGUAAAACUCUGUUAUUAGGGAAGAACAAACGUGUAAGUAACUGUGCACGUCUUGACGGUACCUAAUCAGAAAGCCACGGCUAACUACGUG
rnacentral:rRNA from 1 species